UCUGACGGAGCGACGCCGCGUGAUGGAUGAAGUGCUUUGGUACGUAAACAUCUUUUAUCAGGGACGAAGUUUAUUGACGGUACCUGAUGAAUAAGGGGCUCCUAACUCUGUGCCAGCAGGAGCGGUAAUACAGAGGCCCCAAGCAUUACCCGGAAUCACUGGGCGUAAAGGGUGUCAAGGCGGCCAUAUUAGUCUCCCGUAAAAUCCGUGGGCUUAACCUACGGCGCGCGGGGGAAACGGUAUGGCUCGAGGGCGCAAGAGGUGCACGGAACUCAUGGUGGAGGGGUGAAAUCCGUUGAUAUCAUGGGGAACACCAAAAGCGAAGGCAGUGCACUGGUGCGUUCCUGACGCUCACACACGAAAGCCAGGGUAGCGAACGGGAUUAGAUACCCCGGUAGUCCUGGCCCUCAACGUUGCUCGCUCGUUCUACGGAGUAUCGACCCUCUGUGGGACUAAGCUAACGCGGUAAGCGAGCCGCCUGGGUAGUACGAUCGCAAGAUUAAAACUCAAAGGAAUAGACGGGGACUCGCACAAGCGGUGGAUUAUGUGGCUUAAUUCGUCGGCAAACGAAGAACCUUACCAAGGUUAGAAAUCCAACUGCAUCCGACCCGAAAGGGACGGAGCCUUCGAGG
rnacentral:rRNA from 1 species